GAUGAACGCUGGCGGCGUGCCUAAUACAUGCAAGUCGAGCGAACAGACGAGGAGCUUGCUCCUCUGAUGUUAGCGGCGGACGGGUGAGUAACACGUGGAUAACCUACCUAUAAGACUGGGAUAACUUCGGGAAACCGGAGCUAAUACCGGAUAACAUGUUGAACCGCAUGGUUCAACAGUGAAAGACGGUUUUGCUGUCACUUAUAGAUGGAUCCGCGCCGCAUUAGCUAGUUGGUAAGGUAACGGCUUACCAAGGCAACGAUGCGUAGCCGACCUGAGAGGGUGAUCGGCCACACGGGAACUGAGACACGGUCCAGACUCCUACGGGAGGCAGCAGUAGGGAAUCUUCCGCAAUGGGCGAAAGCCUGACGGAGCAACGCCGCGUGAGUGAAGAAGGUCUUCGGAUCGUAAAACUCUGUUAUUAGGGAAGAACAAAUGUGUAAGUAACUAUGCACGUCUUGACGGUACCUAAUCAGAAAGCCACGGCUAACUACGUG
rnacentral:rRNA from 1 species